rnacentral:rRNA from 1 species
UACGUAGGGGGCAAGCGUUGUCCGGAAUCAUUGGGCGUAAAAGAGCUCGUAGGCGGUUUGUCGCGUCUGCCGUGAAAGUCCGGGGCUCAACUCCGGAUCUGCGGUGGGUACGGGCAGACUAGAGUGAUGUAGGGGAGACUGGAAUUCCUGGUGUAGCGGUGAAAUGCGCAGAUAUCAGGAGGAACACCGAUGGCGAAGGCAGGUCUCUGGGCAUUAACUGACGCUGAGGAGCGAAAGCAUGGGGAGCGAACAGG